CUAGUUUCAAUGGAAUUAA
rnacentral:miRNA from 1 species